AGAUUGAACGCUGGCGGCAUGCCUAACACAUGCAAGUCGAACGGGAGUAGCAAUACUCUAGUGGCGGACGGGUGAGGAAUACGUAGGAAUUUGCCCUUAAGUGGGGGAUAACCCGGGGAAACCCGGAUUAAUACCGCAUGACCUCGAAAGAGCAAAGUGGGGGAUCGCAAGACCUCACGCUUUUGGAGAAGCCUACGUCGGAUUAGCUAGUUGGUGAGGUAAUGGCUCACCAAGGCGACGAUCCGUAACUGGUCUGAGAGGAUGAUCAGUCACACCGGAACUGAGACACGGUCCGACUCCGUACGGGAGCAGCAGGUGGGGAA
rnacentral:rRNA from 1 species